AGAACGAACGCUGGCGGCAUGCCUAAUACAUGCAAGUCGAACGAACACUUCGGUGUUAGUGGCGCACGGGUGCGUAACGCGUGGGAAUCUGCCCUUGGGUUCGGAAUAACAGUUGGAAACGACUGCUAAUACCGGAUGAUAUCGAAAGAUCAAAGAUUUAUCGCCCAGGGAUGAGCCCGCGUAGGAUUAGCUAGUUGGUGAGGUAAAGGCUCACCAAGGCGACGAUCCUUAGCUGGUCUGAGAGGAUGAUCAGCCACACUGGGACUGAGACACGGCCCAGGACUCCUACGGGAGGCAGCAGUAGGGAAUAUUGGACAAUGGGCGCAAGCCUGAUCCAGCAAUGCCGCGUGAGUGAUGAAGGCCUUAGGGUGUAAAGCUCUUUUACCCGAGAUGAAUAAGUGAACAGUAGUUCGGGAAGAACGUAAACGCCCCGGUACUAACCGUCCGUUACG
rnacentral:rRNA from 1 species